rnacentral:rRNA from 1 species
UACGUAGGGGGCAAGCGUUAUCCGGAUUUACUGGGUGUAAAGGGAGCGUAGACGGCAUGGCAAGCCAGAUGUGAAAUACCGGGGCUCAACCCCGGGACUGCAUUUGGAACUGUUAAGCUGGAGUGUCAGAGGGGCAGGCGGAAUUCCUAGUGUAGCGGUGAAAUGCGUAGAUAUUAGGAGGAACACCAGUGGCGAAGGCGGCCUGCUGGACGAUAACUGACGUUGAGGCUCGAAAGCGUGGGGAGCAAACAGG